AUGUCGGGCCGCGGCAAGGGAGGGAAGGGGCUGGGCAAGGGCGGCGCCAAGCGCCACCGGAAGGUGCUGCGGGACAACAUCCAGGGCAUCACCAAGCCGGCCAUCCGCCGUCUGGCUCGGCGUGGCGGCGUGAAGCGCAUCUCGGGGCUCAUCUACGAGGAGACCCGUGGCGUGCUCAAGAUCUUCCUGGAGAACGUCAUCCGCGACGCCGUCACCUACACGGAGCACGCCCGCCGCAAGACCGUCACCGCCAUGGACGUCGUCUACGCCCUCAAGCGACAGGGCCGCACCCUCUACGGAUUCGGCGGCUAG
rnacentral:rRNA from 1 species